CCUGGAGUCUGCACCUUGAGGGGGGGGUACUGUCACGUCCUGACCAGCAGAGGGCGUAUUGCUUAGUCUAGGUCAGGAUGUGGCAGGGGGUUUGUGUUUGUUAAAUGUUGGGUUGAUGAUUGGGACUUCCAAUUGAAGGCAGGUGUGUAUAGUUGCCUUUGAUUGGAAGUCCUAUAUAGGUGUUUGUCUUUGGGGUUGUGGGGAAUUGUUCUGUGUUGAGCCUAUGCUUUGCCAGACUGUUGGUUGUUCGUGCAUUCUCGUACUGUAUGAAUGUCUACCAAUGGCAUGCCUGGUGGUGUUUUUUGGUUGUUUCGCCCAUCAAGCAAGGAGAUUUUGUGUGGAGGUCAAUGAGAUGGUGUCGAAUUUGGUCAACAAAAAAGUG
rnacentral:lncRNA from 1 species